UACGUAGGUGGCAAGCGUUGUCCGGAUUUACUGGGCGUAAAGGAUGCGUAGGUGGAAACUUAAGUGGGAUGUGAAAUCCCCGGGCUCAACCCGGGAACUGCAUUCCAAACUGGGUUACUUGAGUGCAGGAGAGGAAAGCGGAAUUCCUAGUGUAGCGGUGAAAUGCGUAGAUAUUAGGAGGAACACCAGUGGCGAAGGCGGCUUUCUGGACUGUAACUGACACUGAGGCAUGAAAGCGUGGGGAGCAAACAGGAUUAGAUACCCGUGUAGUCUCUGA
rnacentral:rRNA from 1 species